UUGGCACAAGCAUUAUGUUUAUGGGAUCUUUUACUUGGGGUAAGUCUUUUGCCUCCACUCGAAGUAGUAAGUCCACACAUGGACUUACCCUAAGAGCAGUGUGUCUACUCCUGGUGUCUUAUGUCUUGCUUGUGCUGCAAUUCAGUGAACGAGAGGAAUAGCUGCUGCAGAAGCACGGAGUGUUACUUAAGGGCGAGGGGAGGGGUAUUGCUCAGCCUGUGAUCUUGUGCGAGAUCUUGUGGUCUUGCAGAACAGUGGCAGUAGGAACGCCUCUCUUGACCGAUAUGUGCAAAGUGACUCAAACCUCGCUGGCUGCCACUUGAACACAGGUUAUAAACGUUUGACUGAUAACAAAACUGAAAAGGAAGCAAUCCCCUGUUACUUUUAUUGAAGAAAGCCAGGGGAAGGAGUUUAAGGCCGCCGGGCUAAUUGACUUCAAUGGCGGUGAGGGGAAGAGAGUGCCUGCAGAAUGUGCUGGAGGAUGCAGCUCUUUGGGGAUGGGGAGCAGGAGCAGCCCGAUGGAGCUGAGCUGCCCACCAGCACCAAACAACCAGGCACAGGGUUUCUGUGUUUCUGUCCUUUUUUUUUUUUUUGCUUGGACAAAGAGCCUUUGUUUUCAUUGCCAACAUGUUUGCUGAGGCUGCUGCUGGAUCAGGCAGUAAAUUCUCUUCCCACUGGAGCCAUGAAACUGAGACCAAAGUUUGCUCCUACAGAUUUCAGCAUGCUAUCUGAUGUGAAAACAGCCUUUAUUGCCUUUUUUUUCUUUUUUUUUUCCUUCCAAACACACCAAGCUGUAGUCUGGGGCGGAGCAGUUUGACUUCUGGGGAUGAGUUGGUGCUGAGGAGGGUGGCAACGAGCUGUUGUAACGCAGCAAAGCUCUGCCCAGGUCCAACUUUAUCCAAAAUGGAGCAAUUUUAAAACUGUACUGGGUCUGGCUGGAAUGUUAACUUUCCCGGCAGCAGCCCAUACAGUGCCGUACUCUGUAC
rnacentral:lncRNA from 1 species